rnacentral:snoRNA from 1 species
AACCCAUGGUGAGAGCACCUUCUCAAUAAAUCCUUGUAUCUCUCUCAUGCAUCAUAUAGUGUUUCUAAAUUCAUCUGCAUAAAAGACUAGAUAUCAUUCCUCAAUUU